UACAGAGGUGGUAAGCGUUGUUCGGAAUCACUGGGCGUAAAGGGCGCGUAGGCGGCCAUUCAAGUCGGGGGUGAAAGCCCAGGGCUCAACCCUGGAAUUGCCUUCGAUACUGUUUGGCUAGAGACCGGAAGAGGUAAGUGGAACUGCGAGUGUAGAGGUGAAAUUCGUAGAUAUUCGCAAGAACACCAGUGGCGAAGGCGGCUUACUGGUCCGGUUCUGACGCUGAGGCGCGAAAGCGUGGGGAGCAAACAGG
rnacentral:rRNA from 1 species